GACGAACGCUGGCGGCGUGCUUAACACAUGCAAGUCGAACGGAAAGGCCCUGCUUUUGUGGGGUGCUCGAGUGGCGAACGGGUGAGUAACACGUGAGUAACCUGCCCUUGACUUUGGGAUAACUUCAGGAACCUGGGGCUAAUACCGGAUAGGAGCUCCUGCUGCAUGUUGGGGGUUGGAAAGUUUCGGCGGUUGGGGAUGGACUCGCGGCCUAUCAGCUUGUUGGUGGGGUAGUGGCUUACCAAGGCUUUGACGGGUAGCCGGCCUGAGAGGGUGACCGGCCACAUUGGGACUGAGAUAAGGCCCAGACUCCUACGGGAGGCAGCAGUGGGGAAUAUUGCACAAUGGGCGGAAGCCUGAUGCAGCAACGCCGCGUGCGGGAUGACGGCCUUCGGGUUGUAAACCGCUUUCGCCUGUGACGAAGCGUGAGUGACGGUAAUGGGUAAAGAAGCACCGGCUAACUACGUG
rnacentral:rRNA from 1 species